ACCCUGUAGCGCAAUGGAUAGCGCGGUGGACUUCUAAUCCAUAGGUUCGAAUCCCACCUGAAAUA